AUGGCCCACGUUGUCCUCAACUUCAACGCGUUCCUAGAGAAAACCAAGCUGAAAGAUGAUGGCAGCAACUAUACGGACUGGGUCCGGAACCUGAGGAUCAUCCUCAUAGCUGCCAAGAAAGAUUAUGUCCUAGAAGCACCGCUAGGUGAAGCACCAAUCCCAGAGAACCAAGACGUUAUGAACGCUUGGCAAUCACGUGCUGAUGAUUACUCCCUCGUUCAGUGCGGCAUGCUUUACAGCUUAGAACCGGGUCUCCAAAAGCGUUUUGAGAAACAUGGAGCAUAUGAGAUGUUCGAAGAGCUGAAAAUGGUUUUCCAAGCUCAUGCCCGGGUCGAGAGAUAUGAAGUCUCCGACAAGUGCUUCAGCUGUAAAAUGGAGGAAAAUAGUUCUGUUAGUGAGCACAUACUCAGAAUGUCUGGGUUACACAACCGCUUGUCUCAGCUGGGAGUUAAUCUCCCGGAUGACGCGGUCAUUGACAGAAUCCUUCAGUCGCUUCCACCAAGCUACAAGAGCUUUGUGAUGAACUUCAAUAUGCAAGGGAUGGAAAAGACCAUUCCUGAGGUAUAUUCAAUGCUGGAAUCAGCGGAGGUGGAGAUCAGAAAGGAACAUCAAGUGUUGAUGGUGAAUAAAACCACUAAGUUCAAAAAGGGCAAGGGUAAGAAGAACUUCAAGAAGGACGGCAAGGGAGUUGUCGCGCCCGGUAAGCCAGUUGCUGGGAAGAAGUUGAAGAAUGGACCCAAGCCUGAGACUGAGUGCUUUUAUUGCAAGGGAAGUGGUCACUGGAAGCGGAACUGCCCCAAAUACUUGGCGGACAAGAAGGCCGGCAACACCAAAGGUAUAUGUGAUAUACAUGUAAUUGAUGUGUACCUUACCAGUACUCGUAGUAGCUCCUGGGUAUUUGAUACCUGUGCGGUUGCUCAUAUUUGUAACUCAAAACAGAAACUGCGGAAUAAGCGGAGACUGGCAAAGGACGAGGUGACGAUGCGCGUCGGGAAUGGUUCCAAGGUCGAUGUGAUCGCCGUCGGCACGCUACCUCUGCAUUUACCUACGGGAUUAGUUUUAAACCUCAAUAAUUGUUAUUUAGUGCCAGCUUUGAGCAUGAACAUUGUAUCUGGAUCUCGUUUAAUUCGAGAUGGCUACUCAUUUAAAUCCGAGAAUAAUGGUUGUUCUAUUUAUAUGAGAGAUAUGUUUUAUGGUCAUGCCCCGCUGGUCAAUGGUUUAUUCUUGAUGAAUCUCGAACGUGAUGUUACACAUAUUCAUAGUGUGAAUACCAAAAGAUGCAAAGUUGAUAACGAUAGUCCCACAUACUUGUGGCACUGCCGCCUUGGUCACAUUGGUGUCAAGCGCAUGAAGAAGCUCCAUGCUGAUGGACUUUUGGAGUCUCUUGAUUACGAAUCAUUUGACACGUGCGAACCAUGCCUCAUGGGUAAGAUGACCAAGACUCCGUUCUCCGGAACAAUGGAGCGAGCAACCAACUUAUUGGAAAUCAUACAUACCGAUGUGUGCGGUCCAAUGAGUGUUGAGACUCGUGGUGGCUAUCGUUAUGUUCUCACUCUCACUGAUGAUUUAAGUAGAUAUGGGUAA
rnacentral:rRNA from 1 species